UACGUAGGGCGCAAGCGUUGUCCGGAAUUAUUGGGCGUAAAGAGCUCGUAGGCGGUUUGUCGCGUCUGUCGUGAAAGCUUGGGGCUUAACCCAAGUCUGCGGUGGAUACGGGCAGACUAGAGGCAGGUAGGGGAGAACGGAAUUCCCGGUGUAGCGGUGAAAUGCGCAGAUAUCGGGAGGAACACCGGUGGCGAAGGCGGUUCUCUGGGCCUGUACUGACGCUGAGGAGCGAAAGCGUGGGGAGCGAACAGG
rnacentral:rRNA from 1 species